GUACAUACACACAAGUUUGACGGUUGGGUUGUUCAAAUUAGUUCUGUAAAUUGUGUAUCCAGUCAAAACAACGUGUUCAACAAACAUUUAAAGUUUAUUCUAUACUUCUGUUAAGUAGAACAUAAGAUUUUAUGGUGACUGCUAAUGUAAACAUUUUAAAUUGAUGAUCGGGUUCGUUUAAUGUAUCCAUCUAGGGUUGAUGAGCAUCCUUGCAAAAAAUAAUCAAAAUUAUAGCGAAAAUAAUUGUUAAAUCGUGAUGAUAUGUUCUAACCAUCAAAGAAUUUCGUCUUGUUACCUAAUCCUCAAAAGUUUGUUUUUGGAGAAUUUGGUGUAUGCUCAGAGUAUAUACCAACAAGUUUGACAAUUGGAUCUUAGAGUUUAUUAUAUACUUCUGUUAAGUAGAACGUAAGAUUUUGUGGUAACUGCUAGUCUAAAUAUAUUAACUUGAUGAUCGGGUCUAUUCAUUGUAUUCUUCUAGGGUUGAUGAGUAUCCUUGCAAAAACUCAUCAAAAUCAGAGCUAAAAUAAUUGUUAAACCGUGAGAAUAUGUUUCUAGCCGUCGAAGGAAUUCGUCUCGCUACCUAAUUAUCGAAACUUGCAUUUAGAUGAGUUUUGGCAUAUGCCAUCUCGAAGUAUAUACCAACUACAUUGACGAUUGGAUUGUUGAAAUUAAUUUUGCAGAUUGUGAAAAACAUCGAAGGAAUUGGAUAUACCAAAAUGUCCCUCACCUUUGCCUGAUAGAAAAUUUAGUUUUGCCUAAUGAACGUUAAACCCUAAUCCCUAAAUCGUGAAAUAUACCUUUGCCCGAUUAAAAACCAACCCAGUGGGCUGGUCAAUCUCAUAAAUCUUCUCGUCCGGCAAACCAGAGACGGACGACCACGGUCCCGACCUUAUUAGCACCGAAGGUAUACAAAUCAACGAACCCCAAAACCUACUUUCUUUUCUAACAAAAUCAACCAAGCCUAACCGGUCACGACAUGUUGUUGAUAUUGAUUGAGUUUGGAAUGUUGACCACUUUUACCCACGAACUUUUUUAAUAUGUCGAAAGUUACUUUAUCCAAUGAAAUAUGAUUUGUAGGGAAAAUGGUAAUUUCUGGUAGUGACACUUACUCUUUUUGGAGCAAAAUGUGUGAUUAUUUGUCCUUUUUGGAUACACAACAUUGAUUUAAAAGAAAUUGAAGCUCCAUGAUGAGUUAUUUUUAUUCAUAUAGUGCAAAUGUAGCUUCAACGUUAGCCCAUAAAUGGGUCUCAAAUUCACAACGCAUCAAUUUAAUGAAGAACCUGAAGGUCAAAUAAUCUGAAAGCAUAAAAAAAAAUAUGGCGUAAUAUUGAGAAAAUUGGAAUAUAUGAUCAAUUUUGUAAAUCAACUAAAACCUGAAAGUGUAAAAUGUGACUAGUCUAAAAAAUAAUGAUUAGCUAAUUACAAUCUUUGCUAUUGCAAUUAGAAUCCAUUUAGAAUUUCUACUUAGUAGGAGGGGGAAAAUGGAGACCAACUUAUAUUUAACUUGUUAUUGCACAUUAAAUCUCCUUCAAUAAAUUAAUGAUAUGUGUAAAUUUCUGAACACAUAUCAUUAGUUUAUUGAAUAAAGUCGUUAUGAUAAGUGGUAAAUCUAUUUUAGAUGUCUUUUAUAGGAAGAAGUAGUGUUCACACUCACACUCAAUAUUGGAUCAGAAAUAGUUACCAUGCAUCAUAAACAGAUUAGGUAAUGCAGCCAAAAGUUCUCUUCUCUUAUAACUCUGUCAAGUCCCAACUCAAAUAUAGCUGGUAUCCUAUGGUAGUACGUGAACCGCAUUUGUUGUCCAAUAAAUCAAAGAGUAAUGUUAAAGAGACUAAAUUUGUAGACAAAGUUUUAAAAACAAAUAGACAUGGAAGUUGAUAAUUAGUUUAUCACUUAAACGUUGAUAAACAUACUCAUUACUA
rnacentral:lncRNA from 1 species